rnacentral:rRNA from 1 species
GCAAGUCGAACGAGAGCGACCGGUGCUUGCACUGGUCAAUCUAGUGGCGAACGGGUGAGUAACACGUGGGUAACCUGCCCAUCAGAGGGGGAUAACAUUCGGAAACGGAUGCUAAAACCGCAUAGGUUCUACAGUCGCAUGACUGAAGAAGGAAAAGAGGCUUCGGCUUCUGCUGAUGGAUGGACCCGCGGUGCAUUAGCUAGUUGGUGAGGUAACGGCUCACCAAGGCCGUGAUGCAUAGCCGACCUGAGAGGGUGAUCGGCCACAUUGGGACUGAGACACGGCCCAAACUCCUACGGGAGGCAGCAGUAGGGAAUCUUCCGCAAUGGACGCAAGUCUGACGGAGCAACGCCGCGUGAGUGAAGAAGGAUUUCGGUUCGUAAAACUCUGUUGUUAGAGAAGAACAGCGCAUAGAGUAACUGUUAUGCGUGUGACGGUAUCUAACCAGAAAGCCACGGCUAACUACGUGCCAGCAGCCGCGGUAAUACGUAGGUGGCAAGCGUUGUCCGGAUUUAUUGGGCGUAAAGCGAGCGCAGGCGGUCAAUUAAGUCUGAUGUGAAAGCCCCCGGCUCAACCGGGGAGGGUCAUUGGAAACUGGUUGACUUGAGUGCAGAAGAGGAGAGUGGAAUUCCAUGUGUAGCGGUGAAAUGCGUAGAUAUAUGGAGGAACACCAGUGGCGAAGGCGAC